UUAAUUUUUACAAAAAUCUUCUCUUCUGAAACUACUGGCAAAAUUAAAGCAAACAUGGCCAAAAUCAUCCUUAGGAUAUUUAGUUUCAAAAAAGUAUCCGAUGACCCCGCCCAAUAAUUAAGAUGGCCGCAAUGUCUAAAAAUAGAACAUCGCAUAAAAUGUAGAUUUUGGCUUAUAUAUCUGAAACAAAACCAUAGAGACAAUCUAUCAAGGGAUAAGAACAUUUCGCCUCAUAAAAUAAUGUGGACCAGUCAGAACUUUUCAUGUGGGACAAUAUGAGCUCUUAAUUAUAAAAAAAAGUGGGACAAUCGCGAAUAAGCCCUACAGAC
rnacentral:lncRNA from 1 species